CACGCAAUAUUGUAGUCUCGUAAUUAGGAUAUUUGGCGACGGGAUGCUGCUGCUGGUUAACAAUCAUGAAGGAAAACCUUGAACUUAACAACCAUGAAGGAUACUCGUUUGGUAAAGAUUAAGAGGAGUAAAGGUGUCGUUAAGUUCAAGCUGGUCCUCUGCCUCAUGUACCUUUACACCCUGUGUGUAUUUUACUCAGAAAAGGGUGACAAGAUGAAUCAAUCUCUUCCACCAGAGCUUUGAACGUGCAAGCUAUUUGAAGGAAAUAAGGAGCUGCAAAGUUUUACUGGGGGUUUUUUCAGUAGAACGGUAAUGUGGGCCAAGUGUCUACUUUAUGGACUUUGAUCUGUUGAUAACUUAUAAUGGGUCGGCCCACUGGUUGUGGUCGGGCUAGACACGUUACAAUUUUCAUUGCAAGGCCCUUAGUCCCUCUACUAUUUUUUUAAUGAAAGGAAACUCAUCAAAAAGACAUUAUCACAUUUAACGGUCAACUCAAUUGGAGUAAUGGAAUAUCUUAAUCCCUCGACUA